UUAGUGCUGAUGACUGUCGGUUUGUUGUUGUGUUUUCUCACACUGCACUCCUGCCACACUGCAUCCGAGCUACUCAUGCGCCAUUAUGACGAGACUGGCGUUAACAUUUAAUUAAAAAUUGUGAUAUUUUUUACUUUUACUGCAUCGCUGAGUGUUGAACCAUUUCGUUAUUACUUUAUUCUUAUUUGCUUCGUCUUUAUUUUUCUGCGAAAGGACUAAAUAGGCGGUAAAAGCUAUGCGGUAUUUGUUGGUUUCGGUUGCGCGUACAAAAGACUUAAGCAACGAACUUCCUCUCAUGCUUUACUUGGUUGCUGGCUGCGUAUAUGGCAGUGCGUGUGUGUGUGUUGGUGACGGCGACAACUACGCGGACUACAGAGGCGCCAACAAAACGACAGUAAACUGCAAAGGAGGCGUAGUUAUGGCAACUUAAAUUUUGAAAUAUGAACUUUAAUAAAGGGGAAUUUAGUCUGAUGAUUGCAUUGAGAUGUUAGCCUUGCUUUAAACAAAAUGUACAGUUUUUCAGUUUUGAUAUUUUGUGUAGCACAAGUUUUUUUAGAAUGUAUUAAACAUUUUUGUGAAACCAUAUUUAAUAUGUUUGGCUUAACCAGUAUCUUUAAGAUCAUUUUUAAGGUCUGCAAUAGUGACAAUCUUGGCGUGCAAUUUCUUCCAACUGCUCAUUUCUAGAGCUUAUAAUAUUGCAAUUCAACAAAGCAAAGUCCAAGUCAUGACGUUAAGAACAUUUUUAAUAUAGAAUUCCAGUGGAAAAAGAGUUAAGUAAUCU